AUACGAUGGCAGUCUAAUACAUUGUUGUUGUAAGAACUAAAUGUAUCGACUGAGACAAUGUCGCCACGUACAAAAUAUCUCUAAUCAAUUACUGAUCGAUUUAUAGGAAGAGGGAGCCACGAAAGAAAGUUGAACUUGUAUCUCGACAAUGUCAUUACAUUUGGGUCUCUAGUUUGGUAAAGGAGUUGCUUCGAAGAAGUCAUCAUUUCACGAGUAUCCAUAUAUUAAAGGUGGAUGAUAAUUUGGCGUAAAAUUAUACACAUAAAGAUGAUGUAAUUAUUCGAUGAUGUAAUGCACGAAUUAAUAACGUGAUGAGUAUUUUCAACAAUAUGGAACAUCUAUAAUCGAUGUAUUUUACACAUAACAUAUUGAAUUUUAUAUGUAAAAAGAUCAUAUCUCAUCCAACUAUUAAAGAUAUUUUUGAAUUGGUAAAAACAGAAAAGUUCGACAUUAUCGUGCAAAAUGUUAAUUUGGUGAAC